rnacentral:lncRNA from 1 species
GACCUGCAUGUUUGGAGGCGGGGGGUAGCAGAGCACUGACCUGCUGACCCUUGAGAAAAGUGUCCUGCAAGUGAGAAUCCUGCAUAUUCUGCAAGCACAGUAGAGGGGAGAGGAAGACAGCCGAAAUACAGCUGCAGACUGGGGUGUGAUGGUUGCCAAAUAAGUGAUUCUCCCCAUUUCGUUAAAACCCCUCAGGACUGUCGUCGUGGAUGAAGAUGUUGGGUCUGAAGAAAGAGAAGACAAAAAAGCACAAGCGUCCCCUGUGACCAUCUCUGAUGGAUUAAAAAUGAACUCUGCUGAAACAGAAAGAAUAGACCCAAGCCAGAGCCAAGCAGAGUCUCAGGAAUCGCCAUGGAUCUUUGAACAGGAUGAAAUGUUGUCCA